CCUCUUCCCAUUCCGAACAGAGAAGUUAAGCCCGGUCACGCCGAUGGUACUGCGCAACAGUGGGAGAGUAGGUAGCCGCCGUCU
rnacentral:rRNA from 1 species